rnacentral:lncRNA from 1 species
UCGGGAACUUAAUUAAAUUCAACCAUAAAGUAAAUAAAACGUUAGUCAAUCAACAAAUAGAUAAACAAAUAACUUAAGAGGAAUAUAUCGAAUUUGGGCUUUGCCCAAAUUUUCCAAAUCUGCAAAAAGAAGAAGUAAUAAUUUAUUUGGGCUUUGGCCCUUUUUCCAUCUUCCUUGAUCGUGAUAUACACAAAGUGUAUAUUCGAGGUAUACACCAUGUAUACUGCCAAUUCUCGAACUCCCGAACCUGUAAUUUUGUCUUAACUCGGUAUCUUCACAUUUUCCACCUUUAUUUUUUCACAUUUUUACCCUGUAUAUGAUAUUUUCUGACUGUAUAUCGGUGUAUACAGCAGGUAUAACCAACUGUUUUUGACCCUUUCGGAGUUUGAAAACUUAAUUUUCAGCAUGCUCAUCCAUCUUCAACCUGUAUUUUAGUUUCUUGUUGGCUGACUCGAUGAACAAGAGUAUUGGGCCAUAAAGGCCCAAUAGGAAAAUGCGAGGAGAAGACAUGUAAUCCAUGAGGAUUUGGAGGAGUUUCCACAUGCGAGAAUAGACGAAAGAGAGUUAGAAAAGAAAUAUACACACAUGGUCCAACAGUCGGUUCAUAAGGAAAACAAACACACAGUACCAUUUAAAGAAAAGAAACAUGAUUACACCAAAGCAACUAAUUGAAGUUGGGAUGUGCAUGCUCAAUUAACCAAGCUUCUUAACUAAUAAACAAAUAAAAGGGAUAAUAUCAACUAAAUGAGUUAAAGAAAAAUGUCAACAGUGAACUUAAGUGAACUAAUUUCCAAACAAAAAAAAUCACAGUAACAUAAGAAGCUAUGACGGGAAACUAACAUUUGGGCAUAUCUGAAUAUAAUUCUCGACCUUCGUUAUUUAAUUUCAAGAACGUCAACAAAACUACAUGGAAAGCUCCUAAAUUAAGAAAUAAUUCGGCUCAUAAUUAAAGGGAAAAUGAAUAAGAUAGCCAUUUUUAAAUGAAGCCAGGAUAAGCUGAUUGACAAGCAAUAAGGAAAUUCGAAACACUAUCCCCGAACUUCGUGUUUAACACAUGAGAAUCAAAGAGGAGGGAGUGAUACAAAAGAAAAAAAAAACGACAGAACUCAUUUCAUCCCUAAACUCUGACCGACACUUAUGAGUUCACCACUUAUCAAAAUUUAUUAGGGAUGGAAAAUGAAGAUCAUAUGUAUUCUAAAUAGGUAUGACAAAUCCUUUACUUAACACAUUAAUUAAAAGGAAACAAUCAUAUGGCCAGGCCAGUAACUAUUGUAACCGACACAACUUACACAUACAAUAAUCUCCUUCACAUGGCAAACAAGAACAUUAUUAUGAGGAAGAAAGCAAGUUACGCUAACACAUAUUCAAGACAAAAUGAUUAAAAGAACUAAACAUACUAAGAAAACUAUGAAUACACUCAAAUUAAUAACAACAUACAAGAAUCCGGGGGUUCUCUCCUUCUUCGAACUAAAACGAAACAGGGUAGUCCUUAUUUACGACUCCAGAAAUUUCCAGAAGAAUAAAGGGAGAAAAACAACAUGCCACUAAUCACUUAAUGCAGCAUACUAGAGGCAAACAAACACAAAGGCUGUUCAAAGCAAACGAGGCGAGAACCCAACCAAGCUUACACAUCUAAGAUCGAAUUAUAAAAGACCACAGAAGCUUAGAAUGGGUCGGGGUUUACCUCUUUCGCAGCAGCGGACUGGACCACAACCAGCAGGAUGAGC